GCCCGUCCAUCCGCGGGAGGCGGGGCUGAAGGGGGCCGGUCCGGGCCAGCGACCAAUCGGAAGCGGUGGCAGCGUGGGCGGCUGCGUGACGGACAGGCGGCAGGACGCUGUCGCCGCAGCUUCUUCCGGCUAGCUGGGGGACGCCGAGGCUGCGGAGCGCACGCCUGGGCUCCGUCAGAGGGCCGCGCCCGCGCGACGACCGCGUGCCAGCUAGUGGGAGGCGGGCGAGGACCCCUGGGGGUGUCCCUCCCUGACCCAGACGGGAGGAGGGGACUCCUCAGGCUGUUUUGUAAAAUGCGUCGAUGUCACCCUUCCGGCUAUUGCUCCUGACUGUGGACAAGAUUAAGAAAAAAAAGAGGUCACAGAUAAAUAUCGUGCCAAAACGGCGUGGACUUGGAACUGACCUCCAGGUGUGAUGUCAUUAUUUAACUCGAGAAAUCACAGCUUCUGCAUCCUACUAUUCUGCCAAUAUUCACAAGCCAAGAGGCUCAAUUUAACACCCUGGUAGAAAAAGAGAAGCCUUUAAUAUUGCUUGAACAGGGAAGGAGAGGGAAAAAUGGAACUAACCUUGCUGGGAGGG